rnacentral:rRNA from 1 species
UACGUAGGGGGCAAGCGUUGUCCGGAAUCAUUGGGCGUAAAGAGCGUGUAGGCGGCCCGAUAAGUCCGCUGUAAAAGUCCAGGGCUCAACCCUGGAAAGCCGGUGGAUACUGUCGGGCUCGAGUCCGGAAGAGGCGAGUGGAAUUCCUGGUGUAGCGGUGGAAUGCGCAGAUAUCAGGAGGAACACCAAUGGCGAAGGCAGCUCGCUGGGACGGUACUGACGCUAAGGCGCGAAAGCGUGGGGAGCAAACAGG